CCUACGGGAGGCAGCAGUGAGGAAUAUUGGUCAAUGGACGAGAGUCUGAACCAGCCAAGUAGCGUGAAGGAUGACUGCCCUAUGGGUUGUAAACUUCUUUUAUAUGGGAAUAAAAUGUUCCACGUGUGGGAUUUUGUAUGUACCAUAUGAAUAAGGAUCGGCUAACUCCGUGCCAGCAGCCGCGGUAAUACGGAGGAUCCGAGCGUUAUCCGGAUUUAUUGGGUUUAAAGGGAGCGUAGGUGGAUUGUUAAGUCAGUUGUGAAAGUUUGCGGCUCAACCGUAAAAUUGCAGUUGAAACUGGCAGUCUUGAGUACAGUAGAGGUGGGCGGAAUUCGUGGUGUAGCGGUGAAAUGCUUAGAUAUCACGAAGAGCUCCGAUUGCGAAGGCAGUUCACUGGACUGCAACUGACACUGAGGCUCGAAAGUGUGGGUAUCAAACAGGAUUAGAUACCCGUGUAGUC
rnacentral:rRNA from 1 species